GACGUAGGGUGCGAGCGUUGUCCGGAAUUAUUGGGCGUAAAGAGCUCGUAGGCGGCCUGUUGCGUCCGCUGUGAAAUCCCGGGGCUCAACCCCGGGCCUGCAGUGGAUACGGGCUGGCUAGAGGCAGGCAGGGGAGAACGGAAUUCCUGGUGUAGCGGUGAAAUGCGCAGAGUAUCAGGAGGAACACCGGUGGCGAAGGCGGUUCUCUGGGCCUGUACUGACGCUGAGGAGCGAAAGCGUGGGGAGCGAACAGG
rnacentral:rRNA from 1 species